AGAUGACAACAUAGCUGUGAGUGAUAGCUACCUCCUGCUGAAGUAGUCGCUGAUACACAUUGCACUGAUGAAGUACGGAACCGUGGACUAUGUGGAUUUAAAAUAUGUUUGGACUUAUGCGAAGGCGAAGCUGGGUCAGAUAAGUCCAGUCGUCUGGAAAGAUUGGUCCAGUCGGCCGGCCAAAUGGGUCCAGUCGGCCGGGCCAAAUGGGUCCAGUCGGCCGAUCAGACAGGUCCAGUCGGCUGUUUGGCCAGAUAGUACCAGGCGGCCUGCCAGCCAGAAAGGAACAGACGUUUUCUCCCUUCACAGCCAUUGAACUCUGUAGCUGUUUUGAAAUCUCCAAUGGCCUCACGUUGACAUCCCUGAGCAGUUUCCUUCCUGUCCUGGAGCUCAGUUUAGAAGGACGACUGCAACUUUGUUGUUUCUGGGUAGUUUAAUACAUCAUCCACAGCAUAAUUAUUGACUUGACCAUGCUUAAAGAGAUAUUCAAUGUCUGAUUUGUUAUUGUUACCGAUCUACCAAUCAUUGCCCUUCUUUAUGAGGCUUUCGAAAAGCUCCCUCGUUUUUGUAGCUGAAUCUGUGCUUGAAAAUGCUAUAGUUGCUUGAGGGACUUUACAUAUGUAUGGAGACAGAGGAAAGGGUAGUCAUUUAAAAAUCAUGUAAACCCCUAUUAUUAUUAUCCAUGUAACUUAUUAUGGGAUUUGUUAAGCCAAAUGUUACUCUUGAAGUACUUUAGGCUUGUCUUAACAAAAGGAUGAAUACUUCUGCAACAACUAUAUCUUACUUAUACAAUUUCUAUUAAUGUGUUAACAUUUGCAGAAUUGAUUUCACUUUGACAUUAUGGAGUAUUUUGUGUAGAUCAAGGACAAACGAAAUCACAACUAAAUCCAUUUCAAUCCCACUUCUUUUAAAUCUAAGGGGGGGGGGGUGAAUACUUAUGAAUCUCACAGUAUGAUGCAUCAUGCCUUUUAUAAUAGUCCGAGGGGAAUGCUCACAGGUCCUUGACUGGUUGUCCUUGUCCUGAUGUGUGCUGUAUUGGCCUGUAAUUGUUUUAAAAAAUAAAGCAUCAUGCCUAAUAA